rnacentral:tRNA from 1 species
GGGCGUGUGGUCUAGUGGUAUGAUUCUCGCUUUGGGCAAUUCCCUCUGGUAAAACAAAAGGAAUAAAGCGUGCGAGAGGCCCUGGGUUCAAUUCCCAGCUCGCCCC